rnacentral:lncRNA from 1 species
AUCUUCCUGCCUCAGCCUCCUGAGUAGCUGGGACUACAGGCGCACGCCACCAAAUCCAGCUAAUUUUUGUAUUUUUAGUAGAGACAGGGUCUCACCAUGUUGACCAGGCUGGCCUUGAACUCCUGGGCUCAAGCAAUCCACCUGCCUCGGCCUCCCAAAGUGCUGGGAUUAUAGGAGUGAGGCACUGUGCCUGGCCUUAACUCUCAAUCUUUCUUGUGAGCAUUUGGUAGAGGCCCAACUUCUUAUGUCUGUGGCUCUUAGAUAUUCUAAAUAGACGUGCUAGCCCACACCUGGCCUUUAAGAAUUUGCUAAAAUUUUGUUUGAUUUCUUCUUACCUAGCCACUUCUCUCUUGUGCUCUACUAUAGAUGAAAUACUUCAUUUCACAGAUACAGACUCCUAUCCCAGUUUACAUGGUUGGCUUGAGUCCUCAGCUAUCUAAUGGGCUCAAGAAAAAUUAUUGUUCUAGAUUAUCUGGCAUUUUCUUUGCUAAAUUGGGAGCAACACUCUUACAUAAUUUUUCUACAUUUCUUUUCCAAUUAUAAGUACAAAUAUAGGAAUUUUGAUUAGAAUUUUACUAAAGUUAACAUUAGAGAUUGCGCAAUAUUAUACAAUUUGGUCUUUACAUCCAGAAAUACUGGUAUUUUCACUCAUUUUACAAAGAGCAUCUUCCAGAUUCUUUAUGAUAUGGAGUCAUGAUUUGUUAAUUGAUUUUAACUUAAAUUCCAUAUUGUUACAAACACAAAUUGAAGUGGCUUCAAUGUUAUGGUAUUAAAACAUAUUUAAAGUAAACAGGGAAACUGAAAAGUAUUAGGUUGGAACCAAAUAAUCAUAAAGGUACCUAGGAUUGUAACAAAAAUUAAACAUUAUAUUUAGCUUUGAGAUUCCUAGGAGAAAAGACAAAAAGGGAAACAGUACAUUAUGUAGUUCUCACAGUUUAAUAGAAAGAAUGCAUUUUUUUGGUAUGCAGUUCCUUUUAGAAAUAAAUGUGUCAACAUAUUCAGCCCAUUUCUGUUUUUUUUUGAGACAGAGUUUUGCUCUUGUUGCCCAGGCUGGAAUGCCAUGGCACGAUCUCGGCUCACUGCAACCUCCGCCUCCUGGGUUCAAGCAAUUCUCCUACCUCAGCCUCCUGAGUAGCUGGGAUUACAGGCGUGCGCCACCAUGCCCAGCUAAUUUUGUAUUUUUAGUAGAGACGGGCGUUUCACCAUGUUGGUCAGGCUGGUCUCGAACUCCUGACCUCAGAUGAUCCACCUACCUCGGCCUCCCAAAAUGUUGGGAUUACAGGCGUGAGCCACCGUGCCCGGCCAUUUCUGUGUUUAAAGGAAUUUAAAAAGAUGUAGAUUUUUGUAAGAUGGCUUAUUUAUUUAUAUUAUUAUUUUUUGAGACAAAGUCUCACUCUGUCACCUAGGCUGGAGUGCAGUAGCGCGAUCUCUGCUUACUACAACCUCCGCCUCCCGGGUUCAAGCAAUUCUCCUGCCUCAGCCUCCUGAGUAGCUGGGAUUACAGGCACCCGCCACCAUGCCCAGCUAAUUUUUGUAUUUUCAGUAGAGAUGGGGUUUCACCAUGUUGGUCAUGCUGGUCUCGAACUCCUGACCUCGUGAUCCGCCCACUUCGGCCUCCCAAAGUGCUGGGAUUAGAGGCAUGAGCCACCUCACCCAGCCAAGAUGGUUUAUUUAAAGAAUAGAAACUUUAAUAGAACCUCAUCCUAUAGAUGAGAGGCUCAGUUUCAGCCAUUUAUCCAAUUUAAGAAUAUAAAAUUACCAAGUAGUGGCCAUUAAAUAGAAAACACUGGUCCUUUCUGUUUACAUAUACUAAAGAAAUCCAAGAUGCUGACUGAAACACAGGGGCUUCAUGGAUGGGAUCUCUCAUUAAAUGGAUCAGUGGUUAUGAUGAAUUCAUUUUUGUAAAGUGCUUCAUUAAAAAUUAUAGGCUAGGCACGGUGGCUCACGCCUAUAAUCCCAGCACUUUGGGAGGCCGAGGUAGGCAGGUCACAAGGUCAAGAGAUCGAGACCA